GAUGAUUCUCUGGAUUUCCUCAGUGUCUGUUGUUUAGUGUUCUCUCUCUCUGCCUUUUGGUUAGUUUGGAUAGAGGUUUGUCUAUCUUGUUGAACUUCUCAAAGAACCACCUCUUUGUUUCAUUAAUUCUUUGUAAUGUUUUCCUAGUUUCUACUUUAUUGAUUUCAGCCCUCAGUUUGAUUAUUUCCUGGCAUCUACUUCUCUGUGGUGAGUUUGCUUCUUUUUGCUCUAAAGCUUUCAGUUGUUCUGUCAGUUCUCUAGUGUGACUAUACUCCAGUUUCUUCAUGUGGGCACUUAGUGCUGUGAACUUUCAGAGUGCCCCAUAAGUUUGGUUUACUCAGCAGGAAAAUACAAUGGAACCUUGAAUUCUCGGGCAAAUGGAUGGAACUAGAAGAAACCAUCCUGAGUGAGGUCUAUGAAGAAUUGUGUUGGGAUUUUGAUGGGGACUGCAUUGAAUCUGUAGAUUGCUUUUGGUAAGAUUCCCAUUUUUACUAUGUUGAUCUUACCCAUACAAGAGCAUGGAAUAACAUUCUACUUUCUGAUGUCUUCUUAAAUUUCUUGUUGUACAUACAGGUCUUUCACUUGCUUGGUUAGAAUUACCCAAUGACAUACCAUCUUACACCUGUCUUAAUGGCUAAGGAAAAAACAUUGAUGACAGCUUAUGCUGAACAGGAUGUGGAGUAUGAGGACCACUCCUCCACUGCUGAUGGGAGUGCAAUUUGUUCAGGCACCUUGAAAAUCAGUAUUGUUGUUUCUUAUAAAAUGGGAAUCAAUCUACCUCAAAACCCAGCGAUACCACUCUUGCGCAUACACCCAAAAGAUGCACAAUCAUACCCCAAGGCCAUUUAUGUUCAUAGCAGCAUUAUUUGUACUAGCCAGAACCUGGAAACAACCUUGAUGUCCAUCAAGCUAAGCAUGGAUAAAGAAAAUGUGGUACAUUUACACAAUGGAGUAUUACUCUAUGGAAAACAUACAAACAAAAAUCAAUGACAUCUUGAAAAUUGCAGGCAAAUGAAUGGAAUUAGAAAAACUCCUGAGUGAGGUAACCCAGGCUCAGAAAAAAAAAACCACAGUAGGUAGUCACUCAUAAUUACAACCAAUGUAAAUUAAACGAUAAGCAGGCUACAAACCCCCAACUCCAAAGAAGCUAGGUCAAAAUGGAGACUCUAAGAGGGACACACAUGGAGGGCCUAGGAAAAAAAAUAGUAUCUCCUGAGUAAACUGGAAGGGGCUAGAAGGGAGGGGAAGGGAGAUGGGAUCAAGAAAAUUGAGUUGGGGGAGGAACAGAGGGAAGAGCAAUGAAAGAGAUAUCUUGAUAAGGGCAGGCAUUGUGGGGUUAGAGAGAAACCUGAUCCUAGGGAAAUUCUUAGGAAUCUGUAAGGAUAACCCUAGCUAAGACUCCUAUCAAUAAUGGAGAGGGUUUCUGAAUAGGCAUUCCCAAUUAUUCAGAUUAGUGACUACCCUGUCAUCAUAGAAUCUAUAUCCAGUACCUGAUGGAAGCAGAUUCAGUAACCCACAGCCAAGCACUGGGUUGAGCUCCUGGAGUUCAGUUGAAGGAGGGAGUAUAGAUGAUAUGAACAAGGUUGGUCAAGACCAUGGUGGGGAAAAACCACAGCUGACCCGAACUAGUGGGAGCUCAUGGACUAUGGACUAACAGCUGGGGAACCUGCAUUGAAUUGAACUAGACCUUCUGAAUGUGGGUGAUAGUUAUGUUACCUGAUCUGUUCAGGAGCUCUGGCAGUGGCACCAGGACCUAUCCCAGGAGCAUGAACUGGCUUUUUGGAGCCCAUUCCCUAUGAUAGGAUACCUUGUUCAGCCUUGAUACAGAGGGGAGGGACUUGGUCCUACCUUAACUGGUAUGCCAAACUUUGUUGACUCCCCAAGAUAGGCCUUGCCCCCUAUGAGGGGUAGGAAAUGGGAAGACCAGGGGCAGGAGAAGGGGAGGGAUGAGGAAAUGUGGUUGGUAUGUAAAAUGAAAAAUAAAAUUUUUUAAUAAACAAAAAAGAGAAGGAAGAUUUAUUUAAACAUUUUCUUAAGCCAGUAUUCUGAUAAUAUAAACCAGACAAAGAACAAUGAAAAAGAAAAAAGAAAGUCAUAUGCCAAUCUCCAUGGAAUAGUUAGAAAAUUUCUGAAUAAAAGAUUUGCAAACAGAAUUGAAAAUCGCUUCAGGAUGGUCAUUCAUCAUGAUCAAGUCAGCUUUCAUCACUAAAAUGCAAGGAUGCUAUAACUUGUAAAUCAAUAAAUGCACUGCAUCACAUAGAUACUGAAAGACAUAAUCACAUGAUCAUCUCAUUAGAUGAACUCUGUUUCCUACUAUAAUGUCUUCGGAACAUGAAAGGAUCUCUAAUCUCAUGAACUCACAGUACUAGAAUUUAUUUUUUGAUGCAAUAAAAUUCCUCAAAAUUAUUCAUUCUGGGUUUAAUAACCAGAUUGGAAUCAUAAAUAAAUAUUUUAUAUUUUUUACAUAAUAUUUUAUAAAGAGAAAACAAGCUGUAACUAUGUGUCUUAUUUUGACCUCAAACUUCCUUUUGUUGCAUUGUAACAAGGGCUAGAAAUAAAUUCAUAUACCACCAUGCUCAAGAUUAUUUGGUUAUUUAAAAAUAUUUAUUUGCUAUUUUAAUCAUUUGGACAUAUUUUCUCAAUAUUGCAACACUUAGUAACCUUUAACUAAUAUAAAUCUAAGACAACAAAAAAUACCUACUGUCAGUCACAUUUCUUAAAUCAGAAAAUCUAUAUGAAGCUACUACCUAGAGAGCAUUUAGUCCAACUUUAAAAGUCUCCUUGGUCUUUCACAACAACACUAUUUAACAGCCUGAGAGUUUCCCUCUUAU
rnacentral:lncRNA from 1 species